rnacentral:rRNA from 1 species
UAUAACCGAAAGCGUAAGCCAAAUCAUCACAUACGUUUUUAGUCUCACAAUAUUUCAUUCAUGCCACGUUCUAGUAGUGCGACAAUCAUCUGUGAAUAUAUAACAAAAUCUGAUUACAAGUUACAGAUUGUGUCAGCUUCGAUCCUUUAAAACAAAAACGCCAGAGAACUUCGGCCUAAGCCGGCUGCCUUCCGAGCAACGGGUAGGACCGGAGACACCCCAUGGCCGGGGCGCUUGGUUACGGAGGACCCGGUCGAGGCUGGCGGGGCGCGCGUGACGAUGGAGGACGCGGUCAGGGCCGGCGCGCGUCGCGACGGAGGAGGCCGGCAGGGCACGUGCGGCGACGAAGAACGCGGUCAGGGCCGGAGCGCGUGGUGACAGAGGACGAGGUCGAGGCCGGCGGAGCACGCGUGGUGACGAAGGACGUGGUCGGGGCCGGCGCGUGGCGAUGAAGGACGCAGUCGUGGCCAGCAUGGCGUGCGUGGCAAUGGAGGACGUGGUCGGGGCCGGCGCGUGGGCGGAGGCGGGUGGACGCGGGUGGCGCGCGGACGGCGAGCCGAG